GAUCACGCUCGGCCCUCGCCUCUCCCGGGCGGCGCUCUCCCAGUGGCGGGGACCUGGGAUGAGGGCGGGUGGGGAGGGGAAGGCAGGAGGGGGCUGCCCUUCCGUUGCCCAUGCUAAAGGUCCCUGUGUAGGAAGCUGGACGCAGCUUGCUGGACUAGUAAUCUUCCUCCUCGCUGGGGCGCGGGGGACUGAAGGGAGAGACUUUCUCCUCCUUCCUGUUCCCCGGGACAGCUGUGCUCUCCGAAUCCCUCCCUUCUUCCCAGCCCACUUAUCCCCCGCUCGCCAAGCAUCUUCAACUAAAGAUGUCAAAGCACAAGCUCACUUCCCGCGGAAGGUAGCAGUUACUAUUAUCUACUUGACAGCUACAAGAACCUAGGCACAGAGGUUAAGUGCUCUGCAAAUAAUACCAGCCAGUGGUGGUAGUAUUCGCCAGAACCAAGUUCUUGCCUUCCAGUGGACACCAUUGACCUCUCAAGAUUAUUCUUUAAGUUAAAAAGAAAUGUGAAAUCUCUUAGGCCAAGAAGAACAACCUGAGGACUCUCUUUCUGGAGGUAAUUGAACU
rnacentral:antisense_RNA from 1 species